UACGUAGGGUGCGAGCGUUAAUCGGAAUUACUGGGCGUAAAGUGUGCGCAGGCGGCCGAGCAAGUCGAGUGUGAAAGCCCCGGGCUUAACUUGGGAAUUGCGCCCGAAACUACUUGGCUAGAGUGUGGCAGAGGAAGGUGGAAUUCCACGUGUAGCGGUGAAAUGCGUAGAGAUGUGGAGGAACACCGAUGGCGAAGGCAGCCUUCUGGGCCAACACUGACGCUCAUGCACGAAAGCGUGGGGAGCAAACAGG
rnacentral:rRNA from 1 species